GAUGAAGAACGCAUCAAAAUGCGAUAAGUAAUGUGAAUUGCAGAAUUCAGUGAAUCAUCGAAUCUUUGAACGCACAUUGCGCCCGCCAGUAUUCUGGCGGGCAUGCCUGUUCGAGCGUCAUUUCAACCCUCAAGCACAGCUUGGUGUUGGGACUCGCGUUAAUUCGCGUUCCUCAAAUUGAUUGGCGGUCACGUCGAGCUUCCAUAGCGUAGUAGUAAAACCCUCGUUACUGGUAAUCGUCGCGGCCACGCCGUUAAACCCCAACUUCUGAAUGUUGACCUCGGAUCAGGUAGGAAUACCCGCUGAACUUAAGCAUAUCAAUAAGCGGAGGA
rnacentral:misc_RNA from 1 species